CGAAAGCCUGACGGAGCAAUACCGCGUGAGGGAGGACGGCUUUUGGGUUGUAAACCUCUUUUAUCAGGGAAGAAUCGAUGACGGUACCUGAUGAAUCAGCAUCGGCUAACUCCGUGCCAGCAGCCGCGGUAAUACGGAGGAUGCAAGCGUUAUCCGGAAUUAUUGGGCGUAAAGCGUCCGUAGGUGGUUUAUCAAGUCUGCUGUCAAAGCGUGCGGCUUAACCGCAUAAGGGCAGUGGAAACUGAUGAACUAGAGUGCGAUAGGGGCAACAGGAAUUCCCAGUGUAGCGGUGAAAUGCGUAGAUAUUGGGAAGAACACCAGCGGCGAAAGCGUGUUACUGGGUCUGCACUGACACUGAGGGACGAAAGCU
rnacentral:rRNA from 1 species